rnacentral:rRNA from 1 species
UCCUACGGGAGGCAGCAGUGGGGAAUCUUGCGCAAUGGCCGAAAGGCUGACGCAGCGACGCCGCGUGAGGGAUGACGGUCUUCGGAUUGUAAACCUCUGUUGCCCGGGACGAACCGGCGGUUUCGACCGCCUUGACGGUACCGGGUGAGGAAGCACCGGCUAACUCUGUGCCAGCAGCCGCGGUAAUA